AUCGCUUCUCAGCCUUUUGGCUAAAAUUAAGUGUAGUAUCUGAUCUUCAGUUUAAGAUCUGAUACCUCCUCCAUAUGAGGACUUUAUAUCAAACGAAUUUUUAGAGCAGGGAACUGGAAGAUCUUCCAGCUGGGCUUUCUCCAUUUUCUCCAAGUAUUAACCUGCUUAGAAUGGCUUCAGGAAGAAGAUGAAGCCUU